rnacentral:rRNA from 1 species
GCCUAUGGCCAUGCCACCUUGAACAAGCCUGAUCCCGUCUGAUCUCAGAAGUUAAGCAGGUUCAGGGCUGGUUAGUAUUUGAAUGGGAGACCACCUAGGAAGACCAGGUGCUGUAGGUA